AAGAAUUCUCUCACCUGCCUUCUGCCCUUAAGCUCCGGUAGAUUGCAAAUAACCUGCUUUCUUUCUGUUCCCGAGCUGCGUUCGGACCCAUGUCUUAUUGUAAAUCCCACGCAAGCUGCGUUCGGACCCGUCUGAUCGUAAAUCCCAUGUAAGGUACCUGCCGUCGGAAGAUUUGAACGUUCUACUUGGACACCUAAAACCCACAGUCCUCCAGAUUUGAACUUUCUACUUGGACAACUAACACCCACAGUCCUCCAGGUGGGUCCUAAGGAUCUUAGGAGCAACGAUGGGGGGUCCUAAGCCAGGGGGGGAUGAGGGUACCUGCCGUCGGAAGAUUUGAGCUUUCUUCUUGAACACCUCAUACCCACAGUCCUCCAGACAGAAAGACAACAGGUACAAAGCCCUAAGGAUUAUAAAGGUAUGCUGCUUACCAUCAUCUUAGUGACCAAGGCAGCGAAGCUGUUUCUGUACCUUGGAACAGUCUUCCCUGACAAGCCAGAGAACAGUGAUAAAGCCACCAGCCUUGGGAUCAGGACUGAAAAGGCAAGAGUGAUGGAGAUUUCUCCUGCGCUAAGCCAAGAGAAGGUUUCAGCACUUCAGACAGCUCCCACCGAAGUAGCCGCGCUCCCAGCUGCUUGCAGAUGUUGAAAAGGAAAGCCUCGGUUUGUCUUGAGGUUGUCAGCAGGUGCAAGACACGUAAUAAAAUGCAAUGUGUUCCU
rnacentral:lncRNA from 1 species